UGGGGAAUAUUGGACAAUGGGCGCAAGCCUGAUCCAGCCAUGCCGCGUGAGUGAUGAAGGCCCUAGGGUUGUAAAGCUCUUUCACCGGUGAAGAUAAUGACGGUAACCGGAGAAGAAGCCCCGGCUAACUUCGUGCCAGCAGCCGCGGUAAUACGAAGGGGGCUAGCGUUGUUCGGAUUUACUGGGCGUAAAGCGAACGUAGGCGGACUUUUAAGUCAGGGGUGAACUCCCGGGGCUCAACCCCGGAACUGCCUUUGAUACUGGAAGUCUUGAAUAUGGUAGAGGUGAGUGGAAUUCCGAGUGUAGAGGUGAAGUUCGUAGAUAUUCGGAGGAACAACAGUGGCAAAGGCGGCUCACUGGACCAUUACUGACGCUGGGGUGCGAAAGCGUGGAGAGCAAACAGG
rnacentral:rRNA from 1 species